rnacentral:rRNA from 1 species
CUCACAUACAUGCCGUAUUAAGGUGAAACCGCGAAUGGCUCAUUAAAUCAGUUAUGGUUCCUUAGAUCGUACCCACAUUUACUUGGAUAACUGUGGUAAUUCUAGAGCUAAUACAUGCAAACCAGAGUUCCAACCAGAGAUGGGAGGAACGCUUUUAUUAGAUCAAAACCAAUCGGUGGCGGGUUAACGCCCGUCCAUCGUUUACUUUGGUGACUCUGAAUAACUUUGUGCUGAUCGCAUGGUCUCGUACCGGCGACGAAUCUUUCAAAUGUCUGCCUUAUCAACUGUCGAUGGUAGGUUCUGCGCCUACCAUGGUUGUAACGGGUAACGGGGAAUCAGGGUUCGAUUCCGGAGAGGGAGCCUGAGAAACGGCUACCACAUCCAAGGAAGGCAGCAGGCGCGCAAAUUACCCACUCCCGGCACGGGGAGGUAGUGACGAAAAAUAACGAUACGGGACUCAUCCGAGGCCCCGUAAUCGGAAUGAGUACACUUUAAAUCCUUUAACCAGGAUCCAUUGGAGGGCAAGUCUGGUGCCAGCAGCCGCGGUAAUUCCAGCUCCAAUAGCGUAUAUUAAAGUUGUUGCGGUUAAAAAGCUCGUAGUUGAAUCUGUGUGCCACGCUGUCGGUUCACCGCUCGCGGUGUUUAACUGGCAUGAUUGUGGGACGUCCUACCGGUGGAUUUAGCUGUAUGUAAAUAUGGCGGUCCAACUAAUAUCCCAUCGCGGUGCUCUUCACCGAGUGUCGAGGUGGGCCGGUACGUUUACUUUGAACAAAUUAGAGUGCUUAAAGCAGGCUUAUUUUGCCUGAAUAUUGUGUGCAUGGAAUAAUGGAAUAGGACCUCGGUUCUAUUUUGUUGGUUUUCGGAACCCCGAGGUAAUGAUUAAUAGGGACAGAUGGGGGCAUUCGUAUUGCGACGUUAGAGGUGAAAUUCUUGGAUCGUCGCAAGACGAACAGAAGCGAAAGCAUUUGCCAAAAAUGUUUUCAUUAAUCAAGAACGAAAGUUAGAGGUUCGAAGGCGAUCAGAUACCGCCCUAGUUCUAACCAUAAACGAUGCCAGCUAGCGAUCCGCCGAAGUUCCUCCGAUGACUCGGCGGGCAGCUUCCGGGAAACCAAAGCUUUUGGGUUCCGGGGGAAGUAUGGUUGCAAAGCUGAAACUUAAAGGAAUUGACGGAAGGGCACCACCAGGAGUGGAGCCUGCGGCUUAAUUUGACUCAACACGGGAAACCUCACCAGGCCCGGACACCGGAAGGAUUGACAGAUUGAUAGCUCUUUCUUGAUUCGGUGGGUGGUGGUGCAUGGCCG